GAUGGCCAGGCCACAGUUGGAACUUGAGACACGGUCCAAAAACUCCACAACGGGAAGUGCAGGCAGUUGGGGAAUUUUCCGCCAAUUGGACGCAAGUCUUGACGGAAGCGACGCUGCGUGAAGGAUGACGGCCCGCGGGUUGUAAACUUCUUUAUACUCGAAGAAGAAACAAAAUGACGGUAUUCGAGGAAUAAGCAUCGGCUAACUCCGUUGCCAGCAGCCGCGGUAAAGACGGAGGGAUGCAAGUGUUAUUCGGCAAUGAUUGGGCGUAAAGAGUCUGUAGAGCCGUAUAGAAAGUCUUUGUUAAUGCCUCGGUCAAACCGAAGAUCCAGCAAAGGAAACCUUCUAUACUUGACGGGGAAGUAGAGGUACAGGGAAUUCCCGGUGGAGCGGUGAAAUGCGUAGAUAUCGGGAGGAACAACCAAUAUGGCGAAGGC
rnacentral:rRNA from 1 species